CCUACGGGGGGCAGCAGUGGGGAAUAUUGGACAAUGGGGGGAACCCUGAUCCAGCCAUGCCGCGUGUGUGAAGAAGGCCCUCGGGUUGUAAAGCACUUUCAGUGAGGAAGAACGCCUGGUGGUUAAUACCCAUCAGGAAAGACAUCACUCACAGAAGAAGCACCGGCUAACUCCGUGCCAGCAGCCGCGGUAAUACGGAGGGUGCGAGCGUUAAUCGGAAUUACUGGGCGUAAAGCGCGCGUAGGUGGCUUGAUAUGCCGGUUGUGAAAGCCCCGGGCUCAACCUGGGAACGGCAUCCGGAACUGUCAAGCUAGAGUGCAGGAGAGGAAGGUAGAAUUCCCGGUGUAGCGGUGAAAUGCGUAGAGAUCGGGAGGAAUACCAGUGGCGAAGGCGGCCUUCUGGACUGACACUGACACUGAGGUGCGAAAGCGUGGGUAGCAAACAGGAUUAGAUACCCCAGUAGUC
rnacentral:rRNA from 1 species